rnacentral:misc_RNA from 1 species
UCACACUGAUGAGAUGGUAUGUUCCAUAUUCAAAACAAUAGCAUGAACUCCUAAUGGGAAGGAUGUCCUCCCUCAUAAGUUAGAGUAAUUGACAAAUGACCUGACACAAUAAAAAUUGAGUUCUCAAGCUGAAAUUGUUACUUUUUUGAACCCCUAAUCUUUGGAAAUUAAUUACUUGAAAUCUUGGUCAUCGUAAAUCUUGAUGAAGACCUUUUCUUGAUGUAUAAUUAUAAUAUAGGUUCUAAGUUUUGGAAAGUUGAUUUG